UACAGAGGGGGCAAGCGUUGUUCGGAAUUACUGGGCGUAAAGGGCGCGUAGGCGGCCUGCUAAGUCGAACGUGAAAUCCCUGGGCUCAACCCAGGAACUGCGUCCGAUACUGGUUGGCUUGAAUCCGGGAGAGGGAUGUGGAAUUCCAGGUGUAGCGGUGAAAUGCGCAGAUAUCAGGAGGAACACCAGCGGCGAAGGCGGCGCUCUGGGCCGGUACUGACGCUGAGGAGCGAAAGCGUGGGGGAGCAAACAGG
rnacentral:rRNA from 1 species